GGUUGUUAGGCUUCUUUCUUUUCUUUUUUUUUUGUUAAGAGAGACACAGUCCUCCUGUGUCUUCUCCAAGCUUCACAUGUACAAUCCAACAGUGUGAAGCACAUAGCAGCCAGAAACUGUAAUGCCACAGAUCAGAGAGGCUUCAUCAUCCCCAUCUUCGCCGUACGAUCAGAGCGUGAGACUUCACAUCUGGAAGUCCUCCUUCUAGCUUGUCCCACAAGCAGUCGGUGAGAUUUACUCACAACAAAAAGGGUUAAUGACAUUAUUUCCAUGAAAACGUAUUAAUUCUUUGUAAAGUGUUUAAAUUUUGUUUUCACUUGACCUUAGGAGUGUUAUUUUGAGUGUAUUUUAAUAUCUGUACUCAGGUGUUUCCCUCUGUGAUCCAUCCCCUUCAGAGCUGAGACACUCAGGACUGAACAGACUGCACAGUUACUGUGACUGAGCCUCCAAAACAUCUUCUUUGAAACCACACAUGAUAGAAGGGCUUUAUAUUUGCAGCAGCACUACUAAAGUUGGCAGGAAUGUUGCUGCAGGAAAACAUCCCUGGAGAUCACCAUCAUUGUCAGACUGACUGUGCCUCCUCUGUGCAGUGUCAAGAUCCUCCUUAAAUGAGUGUUCCUCAGCUAUCCUGCUUCUGUACUGGUUGCCACACAUCAAACAUUGGCCGGAUGACAGGGAGGAUCCACUCUAAUGUCACUGGACAUGAUGAGGAUCAUAUGGGACUUUAUGGUUUCACAAAGAUGUUGUGCUCUUUGAUUAUAGGUCUUGCAUAAUGACUUCCUCUCUGAUCAACAGGCUAAAGGAUCAUUUUCAUUGUUAGGGCUCUGUAAAAUGAAUGCUUAUUCAAUAG